UCUCCUGCUCCCUCCCUGAACCCCCACCUCCCUCCCUGACCCUUGUCACCUGCCCCCAUCCCUGCCCCCCGUCUGCCCCCAUUUCUGCCCCCCUGUGCAGGGAGUGCUGGUCCAUCCUUUCCAACACCCUUGAAAUCCCCAAAUCUCCCCCCCUGUCCCCCACGCCCAUCCCUGCACCUCCCCAUCCCCACACGCCCCUUCCUGCCCACCUUGAGCUCCCGCAGCCCCGCAGAGAGUGGUGUCACAGCCCUGUGUCACAGCCCUGUGUCACACCCGGGUCACAGCCGUGUCAACACACCUGCAGGCGUGUGUCCCAUGUGCCACCUCUGUGCCACCUGUGCCAGACCCUCACCUGCAGGUGCGGUCCCGGGUCAGUGCUCACCUGCCAGGUGAGCUGCUGGUCACCCCCAGGUCACCCCCACCUGCCAGGUGAGCUGCUGGUCACCCCCCAGGUCACCCCCCAGGUCACCCCCACCUGCAGCCCCCCGCCCCACGGGCCCGCGUGUCCCCGUGUCCCUCGGUGGCCCCCGGUCCCUGUCCCCCCGGUGCUGUUGGGGUGUCCCGGGCCCGUCCCCUCCCUCGCCCCCCGUGUCCCCUGUGCCCUCCCCCUGUAGGUCCCUGUAGGUGUUUGGGGGCCGGCGGGCCCUGGCGGGGGUCCCGUGUCCCCCGGGGGUCCCGCGAGGCCGAUUUAGGAACUGCCGUCCGUGUUUGCUCAUUAAAGACCGUUCACAGCG